AGUGAACGCUGGCGGUAGGCCUAACACAUGCAAGUCGAACGGCAGCACAGUAAGAGCUUGCUCUUACGGGUGGCGAGUGGCGGACGGGUGAGGAAUACAUCGGAAUCUACUUUUUCGUGGGGGAUAACGUAGGGAAACUUACGCUAAUACCGCAUACGACCUACGGGUGAAAGCAGGGGAUCUUCGGACCUUGCGCGAUUGAAUGAGCCGAUGUCGGAUUAGCUAGUUGGCGGGGUAAAGGCCCACCAAGGCGACGAUCCGUAGCUGGUCUGAGAGGAUGAUCAGCCACACUGGAACUGAGACACGGUCCAGACUCCUACGGGAGGCAGCAGUGGGGAAUAUUGGACAAUGGGCGCAAGCCUGAUCCAGCCAUACCGCGUGGGAGAAGAAGGCCUUCGGGUUGUAAAGUCCUUUUGUUGGGAAAGAAAAGCAGCAGGUUAAUACCCCGCUGUUCUGACGGUACCCAAAGAAUAAGCACCGGCUAACUUCGUG
rnacentral:rRNA from 1 species